CAGCAAAGUUUGCAAACAAUACCGGGAAGCGAGAGAAGCCCCCGGAGCUCCUGGCGCAGCGGCCCGGCGCGAGCUCCAACUCACGGCCGCGGCAAACUUCGGCCUCUUCUUGGAGCGCCCAGGUGGCGCGUCUGGAGCGGGCGGGCGGCGCGGGCGCACCGAGGCCGGGCCAGCUCGCGGCGCCCCCGCGGCCCGCGCGGCUUCUCCCUCCCUGCGCUGGCCUCGGCCGGGCCCAGCCGGCAGCUGUUUCGAGGUUUGCGUCCCGGGAUGAGAAGACUCGCAAAAAGGCAAAUGGGGGCAGAAAAGCAGAGCGCUGACAGGCCCCGCCCCCGGGCCGCGCGCCCCGCCCCGCCACUGCUUUGCAUGAGAAAGCGCAGCGGCCCGGGGCAGCCCUCCUCCCCGCCGCCCCGCCGCGGGCUCCCGGGCCCCGCGGGGGCCGAAAGCCCCCCGCCCACAGCCCAGCCCGCGGGGGGCGCAGCGCCGAGUCCCGCCCGCGUCGCCCGCCAGCCCCGGAACAGCCCGCCUGGCGCGCGGAGCUCUGCGCGCCGCGACCCUCUCCGGCAGUCCCGCCCGCGUCUCCUCGCCCUCUCUCUGCCUGGCCUCCAACUUUGCCUCUCGCUGCCCUUUCCGCCGGCGGCCCCUUUCCUGGCGGUCCCCGAGAUGGUCCCUGGAACCCCGAGGACGCCGAGGUUACGGGAAGUUCGGGGACUGGCGGGAGAAGGGGGUGGGUUGUCCGCGGCGAGGGGCGCGGGGCGCAUCUUCUCUUCCUUUUAUGGUUCCCUCCUGUACCCUGGGACCGUUUUCUUUUGCCUGCUCUGGGAGCUGAGUGGGUCAGCUCGUCACAGGCCUGCGGCCCCUGUAUAG
rnacentral:lncRNA from 1 species